rnacentral:lncRNA from 1 species
UUUCAAGUUGGCAAGAAACUACUGGCGAUUUCCCAGAAGCAAGCGGCAACUCCAGAUUUUACAGGACACCAGAUGGCAGACUUGCUCUUUACAUUAUGGAGAUCAGAAACACCUAAAGAGGCAACAUUCCCUUCAUCCUUCCUCUUUCCAGUAGCAUCUUCAUCUCCAUUCUCCUGUUCAAAAAGAGCUGAUUGCCCAUAAUAGGACAUUUUGUGUUUUGGAAUUAUGGAUAAAGGAUUGUGCAUCCACACUGGCCCUAUUUCCCUACCCAUGACCACCCACCAUACCUAAGGAACUGAGCCUGGGGAAAGUUGCAACCACAGACUGACUGGUUUCAUUAUUAAUUGAUCAUCACCAUGUUCAAAGGGACCCUUGAAAUUGCCUGGUAAUUCCGCCAUGUUUCUUUGGUCUCUCAUUAAAAUUUC